rnacentral:rRNA from 1 species
UGGGGGAUAUUGCGCAAUGGGGGGAACCCUGACGCAGCGACGCCGCGUGAGCGAAGAAGGCCUUCGGGUCGUAAAGCUCUGUCUUUGGGGACGAAGUAGGUGACGGUACCCAAGGAGGAAGCCCCGGCUAACUACGUGCCAGCAGCCGCGGUAAUACGUAGGGGGCGAGCGUUGUCCGGAAUUACUGGGCGUAAAGGGUGCGUAGGCGGUCCAUUAAGUCAGGUGUGAAAAACCUGGGCUUAACCGAGGUAAUGCACAUGAAACUGGUGGGCUUGAGUGCAGGAGAGGGAAGUGGAAUUCCUAGUGUAGCGGUGAAAUGCGUAGAGAUUAGGAGGAACACCAGUGGCGAAGGCGGCUUUCUGGCCUGUAACUGACGCUGAGGCACGAAAGCGUGGGGAGCAAACAGG